rnacentral:rRNA from 1 species
GCAAGUCGAACGAUGAAGCCCUUCGGGGUGGAUUAGUGGCGAACGGGUGAGUAACACGUGGGCAAUCUGCCCUUCACUCUGGGACAAGCCCUGGAAACGGGGUCUAAUACCGGAUAACACUUCCUGCCGCAUGGCGGGGGGUUAAAAGCUCCGGCGGUGAAGGAUGAGCCCGCGGCCUAUCAGCUUGUUGGUGGGGUGAUGGCCUACCAAGGCGACGACGGGUAGCCGGCCUGAGAGGGCGACCGGCCACACUGGGACUGAGACACGGCCCAGACUCCUACGGGAGGCAGCAGUGGGGAAUAUUGCACAAUGGGCGAAAGCCUGAUGCAGCGACGCCGCGUGAGGGAUGACGGCCUUCGGGUUGUAAACCUCUUUCAGCAGGGAAGAAGCGAAAGUGACGGUACCUGCAGAAGAAGCGCCGGCUAACUACGUGCCAGCAGCCGCGGUAAUACGUAGGGCGCAAGCGUUGUCCGGAAUUAUUGGGCGUAAAGAGCUCGUAGGCGGCUUGUCACGUCGGAUGUGAAAGCCCGGGGCUUAACCCCGGGUCUGCAUUCGAUACGGGCUAGCUAGAGUGUGGUAGGGGAGAUCGGAAUUCCUGGUGUAGCGGUGAAAUGCGCAGAUAUCAGGAGGAACACCGGUGGCGAAGGCGGAUCUCUGGGCCAUUACUGACGCUGAGGAGCGAAAGCGUGGGGAGCGAACAGGAUUAGAUACCCUGGUAGUCCACGCCGUAAACGUUGGGAACUAGGUGUUGGCGACAUUCCACGUCGUCGGUGCCGCAGCUAACGCAUUAAGUUCCCCGCCUGGGGAGUACGGCCGCAAGGCU